UACGAAGGGGGCUAGCGUUGCUCGGAAUCACUGGGCGUAAAGCGCACGUAGGCGGAUCUUUAAGUCAGAGGUGAAAUCCCGGAGCUCAACUCCGGAACUGCCUUUGAUACUGAGGACCUUGAGUCCGGGAGAGGUGAGUGGAACUGCGAGUGUAGAGGUGAAAUUCGUAGAUAUUCGGAAGAACACCAGUGGCGAAGGCGGCUCACUGGCCCGGUACUGACGCUGAGGUGCGAAAGCGUGGGGAGCAAACAGGG
rnacentral:rRNA from 1 species